AGAGUUUGAUCAUGGCUCAGAACGAACGCUGGCGGCGUGCUUAACACAUGCAAGUCGAACGCGAACGGUUUCUUCGGGAACUUAGUAGAGUGGCGCACGGGUGAGUAACGCGUAAGUUAUCUACCCUCCCAUCUGGAAUAACUCACCGAGAGGUGUGCUAAUACCGGAUACGUUGGAAACAAGAAAGGUGGCCUCUAUUUAUAAGCUACCGUGGGGGGAUGAGCUUGCGUACCAUUAGCUAGUUGGUAGGGUAAUGGCCUACCAAGGCAACGAUGGUUAGCGGGUCUGAGAGGAUGAUCCGCCACACUGGAACUGGAACACGGACCAGACUCCUACGGGAGGCAGCAGUGAGGAAUAUUGCGCAAUGGGGGGAACCCUGACGCAGCGACGCCGCGUGGAUGAUGAAGGCCUUUGGGUCGUAAAAUCCUGUCAGAUGGAAAGAAAUGCUAUAGUGCUAAUAUCAUUAUAGUUUGACGGUACCAUCAAAGGAAGCACCGGCUAACUCCGUGCCAGCAGCCGCGGUAAUACGGAGGGUGCAAGCGUUGUUCGGAAUUACUGGGCGUAAAGCGCGCGUAGGUGGUUUUAUAAGUCAGAUGUGAAAGUCCCACGGCUCAACCGUGGAAGUGCAUUUGAAACUGUAGGACUUGAGUAUUGGAGGGGGUAGUGGAAUUCCCGGUGUAGAGGUGAAAUUCGUAGAUAUCGGGAGGAAUACCAGUGGCGAAGGCGACUACCUGGCCAAAUACUGACACUGAGGUGCGAAAGCGUGGGGAGCAAACAGGAUUAGAUACCCUGGUAGUCCACGCCGUAAACGAUGUCAACUAGGUGUUGGGAAGGUUAAUCUUCUCAUUGCCGCAGCUAACGCAUUAAGUUGACCGCCUGGGGAGUACGGUCGCAAGGUUAAAACUCAAAUGAAUUGACGG
rnacentral:rRNA from 1 species